AGAGUUUGAUCCUGGCUCAGGAUGAACGCUAGCGGCAGGCCUAAUACAUGCAAGUCGAGGGAGAUUGUUGGAUUCGUCUGACAUGAAACCGGCGCACGGGUGCGUAACACGUAUGCAACCUACCUUUAACUGGGGUAUAGCUCAGAGAAAUCUGAAUUAAUCCCCCAUAAGACUACGACAUGGCAUCAUGAUGUAGUUAAAGCUCCGGCGGUUAGGGAUGGGCAUGCGGUACAUUAGCUAGUUGGUGAGGUAAUGGCUCACCAAGGCUACGAUGUAUAGGGGGUCUGAGAGGAUGAUCCCCCACACUGGUACUGAGACACGGACCAGACUCCUACGGGAGGCAGCAGUAGGGAAUAUUGGUCAAUGGACGCAAGUCUGAACCAGCCAUGCCGCGUGAAGGAUGAAGGCCCUAUGGGUCGUAAACUUCUUUUAUUAGGGAAGAAAAAAUGGGAUGCGUCCUAUACUGACGGUACUUAAUGAAUAAGGAUCGGCUAACUUCGUGCCAGCAGCCGCGGUAAGACGAAGGAUCCAAGCGUUGUCCGGAUUUACUGGGUUUAAAGGGUGCGUAGGCGGAAAAUUAAGUCAGUGGUGAAAGCCCGCAGCUCAACUGUGGAACUGCCAUUGAAACUGGUUUUCUUGAAUAUAGCUGAGGCAGAUGGAAUAUAACAUGUAGCGGUGAAAUGCUUAGAUAUGUUAUAGAACACCGAUUGCGAAGGCAGUCUGCUAAACUAUUAUUGACGCUGAGGCACGAAAGCGUGGGGAGCGAACAGGAUUAGAUACCCUGGUAGUCCACGCCCUAA
rnacentral:rRNA from 1 species